GAUGAACGCUGGCGGCGUGCUUAACACAUGCAAGUCGAACGGAAAGGCCCUGCUUUCAGGGUACUCGAGUUGCCAACGGGUGGGUAACACGCGGGUGGUCUGCCCUGCACUUCGGGUUGAGCCUGGGCGACUGGGUCUAAUACCUGCUAGGUGCCAUGUUUAGUGUGAUGGUUGGAAAGUUUUUUCGGUGAAUGAUGAGCUCGCGGCCUAUCAGCUUGUUGGUGGGGUAAUGGGCUACCAAAGCGGCUACGGGUAGCCGGCCUGAGAGGGUGGACGGCCACACUGGGACCGAGAGAAGGCCCAGACAGCGAAUGGAGGGAGCAGUGGGGAAGCUUGACCAAGGGGCGCAAGCCUGGUGAAGAGGGGCCGCGUGGGGGAUGACGGCCUUAGGGUUGUAAACUAAUUUUGCAAGGGACGAAGCACUUUGUGACGGUACCUAGAUAAGAAGCCACGGCUAACUACGUA
rnacentral:rRNA from 1 species